ACUCACCAGGUCAGGACACGGUAAGGAUUGACGGACUGAAGGCUCUUUCUCGAUUCCGUGGAAAGUGGUGCAUGGCCGUUUUGGUUGGUGGAUCGAUCCGUCUGGUUAAUUCCGUUAACGAACGAGACCUCGGCACUCCGAAUAGCGCGGCGGACGUCGCGGCCUCCGGGCCGUCUUCCGCACGAGCUUCUUAGAGGGACCGUCCCCCGCCGGGGAAGGAGGUGCGAGGCAACGACAGGUCUGUGAUGCCCUUAGAUGUUCUGGGCCGCACGCGCAUUACACUGACGCGUCCAACGGGUGACUCCCGACCCGAAGGGGCCGGGGAAUCCGCAAGGCGCGUCGUGAUGGGGAUUGAACGUUGCAAUUGUUGUUCACGAACGAGGAAUUCCUAGUAGGCGCGGGUCAUCAACCCGCGCCGAUUACGUCCCUGCC
rnacentral:rRNA from 1 species